rnacentral:lncRNA from 1 species
AUGUUUUUAUGUUCAGUUAAAAUAAAAAUUUUUUUUUUGGUACCCAGAAAUGAACUCAGGACCUUGCGCUUGCGAGAACAAGAAGUGAUUUCCUGCAGGCAGCGAUGCUGUGGAAUUCUCACAGACCCCAAGUUCCUGCUAAUUUCCCCCACCAGACUUGGGAAACAAGCAUCAACAGAGCACCAGGGAAAGGGUGGGAAGCUGUGGUUAUCUCCAGCGCUCCCUGCUAGGACCUCCAAGAUCAAGGUAUGGGUUCAGGCACUGCCCUUCAUCCCCACCCUACCUCCACCCCUUAGUGAGCUUCACCUCCCCAUGGGUACUGAAUGUGUCUUGAAUGAAACAUUGUUUCAGAAACAUCCACGUUCAUCCCCAUGUAUUCAUUGCUUCCUAUGACACAGCGGUAUUACAUCAGAACUGCUGCUACUCCAGACAGUAGUUUUGGACAAGUUAGAAAAAGUGUGCCUUAUACCGUACCUUCUAUUGAAAAAUUGCCAUUCUACAAUCCCUUCUACUGAUUUUGUUUGAACCACACCCUUUAGCACCACCUACAGGAAACCUGUCUAGAAUGUGACUACAGCAGUACUGUGCCCUCUGAGAAUUAAAAUCAUAGGCCUGGAAACCAAGCAAUUUGGAUGCAACCUCUACCUCUAUCUCUUCCAACAAUUUGGCCAAAUUCCUUAAGUUUUCUUUUCAUUUCUCUCCAUUUGUAAAUUGGAGAAUAUAUAACUACCUCAUUUGCUAGGUGGAUUAAAUGAAGUAAUGUAUAUAAAGCAUGCCAAAUCAUGCUUAUCUAUAGGUUGUGCAAAGGAGAGGAAUGCACAUAUUAACAGUGCUUGUGGUGCAAAUCUGAAAUAUGAUUUAGGAAGAUCCCAAGAGAAGACCCCUGUCCUAUAGCUAUACCGAUGAGAGAGGAGACCACCCCUCCAUAUAGAAUUGGGCAACUAAGAGUUAACCAUGUUAUUAGACAACUAUGGGUUAGCUAGGUAACUAUGCUUUUUGUAGAAUGUACUUGAGCAGCCAU